rnacentral:lncRNA from 1 species
UGUAGUGUGUAUAACCGACUACGGCUGCAGAAUAUACAGUCUCUGGUGUUGAUGGAAAGGACUGUUUACCUAGAGGCAGCUUGGUAUGACAUGUUGCAAAGCUUUCUGUUUGAUUAACAGAUAAUAAAUACUGCAGGCACUAGCAAAUUAUACUUACCUAGCAGUUGCCGUAUUCCAGCCAUGGAGUCAUAAUCUUAGAAUAAAGGUCUCGGUGUUUAGGUGAAUCUGAGGAAAGUCCAAAAUAUUGCAACAGUUUUACUGUUCCAGUUGUUAAAAUUGUAAGCAAAGACGUAUGCUGGCUUAAACACAUCAACAAGACAACAAAACACUCAUUUCAUUCAGCUGCAGAUACUUCUGUUCUCAAAUAUGUAUUGACAGUACCUGUGUCAGAUGUACUGGCAAACAUGUUAUAUCUUCAUUUUUGUCGAGCCCGCUUGCGGAAGCAAAGAUAGAUGUCCAAAUGGCUGUUCUGUGUAUGUGCGUGUGUGCGUCCGUCUGUCCGUCAGGAUUUGUUUGUCCGGACCAUAACUUUGACAUGCGUGGAGUAAUCUCGUUUAUAAUUGGCAUGAACACUUUUCUGUAGUACAAUAUGCCUGUUACAUCCAAUUUUGAGGUGUUUUUAGACCUAUCUCUACUGGUAAGGAUUUUUGUGUGGACUUAGAUUUUUUUAAA